GAUGAGACCCUGGCCUAGCUACACAUUUGUAGAAUAAAAUAUCAAUGGCAUAAGUGCAUAACAGAUAAAUGGAAUCACAAUGCAGCAUGACAUGUCAACUGUAUAUGGAGUGAAUAUAGCGGUGCAAGGAUCAUGGUAUAAGACAACAAUGAUUGAGGUGAUGUGCCAAAAUGUGUUGUUUUGUGUGGUGAUGAAUGAAGAAUUCAGUAUCACUAAACUUUUUUUUGACCCUAUCUUUGACUCCUGUGGUCACUGGGUUGUGGGAAAAGGUUUUGAAGAUGGGUUAGAUGUAGAAGAUGAUAAUUGAUAAGACAACGAUCUAGCUCAAUAAGAAAUAACAUUGAUUGGACUAUAUCAAGGUCAAGUAUGGACGUGGUCUUAAUGGCUUCUGAAGGUUGUGAAAUUUGCUGCUGAAGAGGCGAUAACAUAGCAAGAUGGUGAUGAAUGCUGUGAUAACGGGGUUGUGGCAAA
rnacentral:lncRNA from 1 species